UCACCGGACCCGAACCGAACGAGGUUCGAAGGGUUUAUACCCACGAAUCGCUUCGAUUCAGGUCCGAAGGAAAUGAGGAUUCCGCCCCUGCGGUACGCCGCAAGACGGUAUCUGAUGUUAGCCCUAGUAGUUCGGUGACAUCCGAACGGAUGUCACGCGAACUCGGACCUUUGAACGGUGAUUUGACAGCAUUACGCUGCCAUUCACCCGCCAACACCCCGCGACCAGGUUUAAAUGGUCGCGACCCAUUCCGGUUGAUCCUGCCGGAGGUCAUUGCUAUUGGGGUCCGAUUUAGCCAUGCUAGUUGCACGAGUUCAUACUCGUGGCGAAAAGCUCAGUAACACGUGGCCAAACUACCCUACAGAGAACGAUAACCUCGGGAAACUGAGGCUAAUAGUUCAUACGGGAGUCAUGCUGGAAUGCCGACUCCCCGAAACGCUCAGGCGCUGUAGGAUGUGGCUGCGGCCGAUUAGGUAGACGGUGGGGUAACGGCCCACCGUGCCGAUAAUCGGUACGGGUUGUGAGAGCAAGAGCCCGGAGACGGAAUCUGAGACAAGAUUCCGGGCCCUACGGGGCGCAGCAGGCGCGAAACCUUUACACUGCACGCAAGUGCGAUAAGGGGACCCCAAGUGCGAGGGCAUAUAGUCCUCGCUUUUCUCGACUGUAAGGCGGUCGAGGAAUAAGAGCUGGGCAAGACCGGUGCCAGCCGCCGCGGUAAUACCGGCAGCUCAAGUGAUGACCGAUAUUAUUGGGCCUAAAGCGUCCGUAGCCGGCCACGAAAGGUUCAUCGGGAAAUCCGCCAGCUCAACUGGCGGGCGUCCGGUGAAAACCACGUGGCUUGGGACCGGAAAGGCUCGAGGGGUACGUCCGGGGUAGGAGUGAAAUCCCG
rnacentral:rRNA from 1 species